UUCUACCAAAACCCAGCAGUUUCGGGUGUGCCCGCAGUGCCUCCUGCCAGCCACGGAGCCGCAACGUGAGUGGAGCAGCACCUCAGGCUCGUCUGUCUGCUCCAGCAACUGAGAGAUGUUGCUUUGCUUCAGCACAAUGGAGUGGGGUUUUGUGAUGAAACCAGCUCUGAUAAAUAAUAAAGGAAAAGUGGAUGUUUCUGCCUCCUGAUUCUGGGACUAACAGCUAAGCUUAUUUCCUGGUUAGUCCCUAUACAAGGUCACAGUCUGGUGCUCACCAAAGGAGAUGAGCUUCCUCAUCUGCGUUUUGAGUGCAAGCACAUGCUGAAAGUGGGAGGAGGGUUUUGCUGAGAUGACAGAAGCAUAUGUGCAGAUAAUGUCUAUUCUUGCAUCUAGCUCUCUUCUGCAAAAUACCAGUGAUCAAGAAGAUGCUGGAGCUUGCAUUGUAGAUUGUUACAUUUAUGGAAUUGAGAACAAGGAUAAAAAUGUAAGUAAAAUGAUAAAAAAAGUCAAGAAGGGGAGAGAGCAAAGACCUGCUUGCGAGCCUUUACCUUGAAGACAUGGCCAUGCAUGCCAGAGGGGUGAAAGGAAUCCCUUUGAGAAGGCAGGAUGGCAAGAAGCCCUCUUCAACCUCUGGAUGUUCAGCACACAAAUCCCUGAGAAGGCCAGGAUUUCUUGAGAAUAUUUUCUUCCAUUAAUUUUUACAGCAAAUAAAGUAGUUGAAGAACGUGGAAAUACUUGGUAGAAGACACGUGGCUAUGGUGCCAGGUACAGAAAGCAAACUGUAGAUUUGUUAUAACUUUUUCCUUACAUUUUAGGUUUGUCCCGAAGAUUAGUUAGCUAGUGAACAGAAAAUAGGUGUAAUAGAAAGGAAAGCAGAAAGAGGACACACUUAACAUCACAGAGUAAGACUUUUUUCUCAUUGGUAUUUCAAGUUGGAUCCUCAAAUCCUUUUUCCAGACUCUAUAGCAAAUAACCAUAUGAGAGGAAGAAAGAUAAAUGUGACUAUAAUGUGCAGGCAAAACUGUGCAUAGCUCAUGCAUAAAACGAUUCUGGAUUUUGAGGUCUACUAAAUCAGUUGAGUUUUAUUGCAAUAUGUUUCUUUGGUUCAUUUGUUCAGGAAGAGAGCAUAUAUUAAAUAUGAAGACAAUAUAUCUAGGAUAAUAAUGAUUUUAUUAGUUAAGAAAGCAAGGAAACUAUGUAAUACCCUAGUAUUCCUUUAUCUGCUUAUCCAGUGCUAGUGUAAUACAUCUUCCUUCUUUAACCAGGAUUCUAAAUGAAUGACAGUCCCAGUAAAUUAUUGAGGUUCUUCUGCCCACUUUAUAAAGGUUACAUCAUCCAACAAAGAUUAAAAAAAAUAAUAAAUGACUCAGGUGGACAAUGAAAUUCUAAAUUUCAAGUAUGAAAUGGCUCAUUCAUGUAAAUUGUACCAUGAAUUGACUUUUUACUUUUAAGACAAAAAUUAAUUCAAAACAAAUUUAUAGCACUUCCCCUGUAGAAAAUUUGCUGCAGGAAAGGACUGAGUUCACUGAAUAAAUAAAAUCCCCCACCCCUAAAUAUAUAACGCAUUAAUGCAAGAUAUCUUCAUAUUGAUCUGCUGCCAAACAGUCAUGAUGGCUUAUUUCUUUUUGUCUAAAGUGUAAGUUUUUAAGCCAUCAGCUGACAGUAUUUUUCUUUAUUGGCUUGGGUUGGACCGUGCUCACUUACUAUGGGUGGACAUUAAACAUUUUGUUUGAAUACACUGAAAAGACUUUAAAAAGCCUUCCAGAUAUCCCAGCUUUCAAAAAUUCCCAUCUCUCAUUAAAGAUGUGCCAAAGCACAGUUUUAAUUAAUAGCCCUGAGUGAUUUUUUUUUAAUGUCAAGAUUUUAAUAGAAAAAUGAAUUAGCAGAAACUUUGAACAAACUUUUCAGUAAUUUAAUUUUUUUACAUUUAAUGUUUAAUAUAAAUUUGAUGUUGAAGAGCAGUUCUGUUCCAUACUGCCUGUGUGCCUGCUUUCUGUUGCUGUAGUACAGCUACUGGACACCAAACUGUGGAGCUCCCAGAUGCUGUGUAACCUGUUUAGGAGAGGUGAGCUCAUUCCUGUGGUUUCACAAGUCCCUUCAGAGAGGCUUUCUGUCACUCGUACAAAUGGAGGCAGGUGUCCCAAGGUCUUUCUCACGACUAGAGAACUGUUUCAGAGAUUUUACCAUGCAGGAAUUCAUGGCAGAGGCAGAGAUUUGAGAGUUGUGUGGGAAGAAGUUGCCAGCCUGGCUCCCGAGCUUGGGUCCACUGCAAGUGGCAGGUGUUCCUUCCAGCAGUGCCACGCGGUGGCACAUCCCUGUCACUCAGAGAGCGCCUGUGCACGGAGGAGGACUGUGGGAGGAAACACCUGCUCAGCCAUUUGAGCUGUGCCUCAUGCCAAGCCACGUGGAGCUGUCAGUGGCUUUGUAAUGCAUUUGAUCUGUGCUGUGUACUCACAAAUAUUGCUGCUGUCCGGGCUGGAUUUAAUUUUGGGGGGAUUGAAAGAAAGUACUUUGGGAAGGACUGUAUGAGGAGAAGACACAUAAACCUUUCUUCCUGACUCAACUUUGUUAUUUUCACAAAUGUGGAACACAUUUGGUCGGUAUCCCAUUGAUUUGUUUACUGCUUUUGUGUCCCACAUUUGUGGAGGCUUUCCUAACAUAGAUACUUCUCUCAUCUGGCCUGGCUCUGACUACUGCACAGAAACCCCUGGAUAGGUGGGUGGAGUACACGUCCAGGGCAUUUUGGGUGGGCGUGAAAGGGAACACAGUGAACUUUUAAAGUAAUCUGGCCCGUACUUUCAGGCUUGCCUGUGGCUCAAGUGUAAAAAUUAUGGGAUCUGUUUGGGAAGUGAUGUUAGUAUCAGCUGUAAGUGCUUACCUUGGUUGCACACAGCUCACUCUUUACAUGAUCUGCCCCUGGAUGUGGAAUAUUACAGCACUGUUGCAAAUUAUUUUGUCUGUGUGCUUUGGAAAGUAUGCAGUAUGGCUCGCUUUCAAACAUCACUUCUGUUAUAAAAAUCAGUGGCUCCUACAGUGACCCGAAACUAGUCAGGUAGGAUUUUAAAGAGCAAAGAAUUUCACAGAUGGCUGAUUUGUUUCUUCAUUCUGGUAUGUGGAAAUAGUUCUGUGUUUCAAAAAAAUAUUUCCCCCUUGCAUUUUAGAUAAGACUAUUACUAGUUUUUCAUAUAAACACAAUUCCCAGUUUGGGUGGGAUGUAUUUCAGUCAAAUAAAACUGAAAGAAGGAAGAAACCCAUCCUCUCAGCUCAGCCUUUUUCCAGCCAGAGCCCUCUCCCAUGAGUCUUCCUGCUAACCAUCAUUUCAGCUGGUCUUGCCCUCUUCAAAUAUGCUGAGGAGUUAAGUACAAUCUAGCUCCACUGCCCUAACACCUGACAUAUCUGCCAGAAGGGCUGGGAGGUCUAAAGAGGGUAUUUUUUUUUCCUAUGUAUAACCUGAGGCCUAGUGUACAGACCCUGUUAUACUGUAGUCUUUCAGAAAUGGAUUGACUUCACUGAAAUGCCUCUGCAAUGGCCCAGAAGAAGACACUUCCCCAGAAGCAGUUGCCUAGGAUGCAUCAUUCUUGGCAGUAUCUGCAAAUAAACUUCUUGUAAUUGAUUUAAUAAUUUUCAAAUAAAAAAAUUAUGAUAGCUGUGGACAGCUAUAAAUAACAGAAAUGAAACACAUUAUUUGCACUGCGCCUUCACAUGCACUUGUUUAGCUCUUUCUGCUGUUAAGUUAAAACAUCUGUUUCUAUGGAAGUGGAGCAUUCCAUGCAACAAACACAGCACUGGAAGUGACCCACAUAUUAAAUGACAACAUUUGACAAAUUCUAGCAGUUGAUUACUGGGGAGGAGUAGACUGUGGUUAUAAUCAGAGUAAACCAAAAAAAUGUGUACCUUUAUAAACCUAGAGUUUAAAUGAAACAUCUGUACUAAAUCAUGAUUGUAGAACAGCACUGUAGCCAACUACCAGACCAUAUGAUAAUGGGGUGUUUUUAACGAUCCCUAUUUCCAUCGCAUCCUCCAAAUCAGAUCCAGACUGUGCCCACUGGCAUGAAUUCUGCUGGAAACCAAUUGGGAUAGUGUCAGGCUACAGUGAAUAUUGUAAGUUUAGAUACAGAUACCCAUAAAAUUUAGUGAUUCCAAUGCCUUAUGGAGAUUAUAAGCACAGGUAGAAACUCAGGUGAAUAUUAGCAGUAGUUUUGUAGGCUACAGACUUUUCCAGUCAUGUUUUAACCCCUAGAAAUGGGGGAUAUGUUGCAGUGACUGUGGAAUCUUAUUUGUAAGGAAAUAUGAGUGUAUAGCAAGAAAGUGAGUAUUAGAAUUACAGCAGUGGGUCAGCUGGUGAUAAAGUAAGAGUAUUGAGUCUGGCACCAAACCCAGGUUUGGCAGCUCGCUUAAACAUAAUUCUUUGGGUCUGUGAAACUGGUAUGCAAAAGUCAAGUAAGUACAACUGUCUUUGAGUGCUUUCCAUUGCUGUUAAGUGGAUACAAAGCAAAAGAAAACUAGUUUAGUCUAGCUCUUUAUGUAGAUUCUUAAACUGAUGUUCAUUAAUAGCAUCUGAACAUACACAUUUUGUUAUUACUGCAGAAUAUUCUAUGAAUUAAUUAAAAAACACAAGCAAAUGCCCGAACUUUGUAUUAGCUCUACAUAGUCACUACAAUCUUUCAAAAACGGGGAAAAAAAAAGCAAACCCACUCUGCAACUGAACUACAUUUUUAGUUUUAGGUGGCCUACAGUAGAAAAAUUGCUGUUGUGUUACGAAGAUCUGUUCAUAAUUCCUUUACCAAAAUGAGUGAUGUUCAAUAAAACUGAAAUAUUGAAAGAGUGAAAUGUUUCUGAAGUGAUGAUCUAGAAAUAGUUAAUUUGGACAUGUAAGGUUCUCAUUGGGAACAAGUAGAUGAGUGCUGUUUGGCAGGAAUAAAAGGACAGGCUACAUUAAUAGGGAGCAAAUAAUACAAUGAGUGGUAGUGUCUAAAUUUAGCGUUAGCAGGACAUACUGAAAAUACUAUAAUAAUCAAAGUAUCUCAUUUAUUAUAGCUAACCUGUCAGGGCAUUAUGUCCAUCAGGAGUUAAUGGGAUUCUUAUUUAAUAGAGUCACAGAAUGGUUUGGGUUGGAAGGGAUCUUGAAGAUCACCUAGUUCCAACCUCCUUGCCAAGGGCAGAGACAACUUUGACCACUCAAAGCCCAUCCAGCCUGGCCUUGAAUGAUUCCAGGGGUGGGGCAUCCACAACUUCUCUGGGCAACCCAUUCCAGUGCCUCACCUCUCUCACAGUAAAGAAUUUCUUCUUACUACCUAAUGUAAGCCUAUUCUCUUUCAGCCUAAAGCCAUUCCCCCUUGUCCUGUCAGUACAUGUCCUUGAAAAAGUCCCUCUUCAUUUCUGUUGUAGGCUCCCUUCAGGUACUGCAAGGCUGCUAUAAGGACAAGGGACAAGUUUUUAAGAUAACAUGCAAGUUGUAAAAUGGGGGGUUAGGGAAAAAUCUAUAGGGUAUUCAUUUAAAAUAUAAAGUUGAUGGAUUUUUGUGGUCCGAUACUUCAUUUUAAACAUUCUAUUUAAUUUUGCAAAUAGUGAAUGAGAAGUUUAACUACUUAGACCACCACCACUGCUACUGAAUUCUAGAAUAACAACAGGAAAGUGGACAACCAGUGUCACCAAUGUGCUUAAAUACACAAGAAAUUCUGAAAUAAAAACUUUGAUUACUUUGAAAUAAACACUAAACUGGGAGGUGGGGAGAUGGGGUGUGGGGAAAUGUUAAAGCUUAAAAGACUUAGAAAUACCAGAUCAUCUUUGGGUUUAUAUUUUAUUAAAACUUUUUCACAGAUUUCUAAAUGUUAUUGUCACAAGAGACUAUUAGAUCAUCUCGCCUGACUUGAUCUUGCAUAAAAGCAAUGUCUAGAAUGUCUAGAGAACCUCUGAGAGGGCUUUUCCUCAUUUGAUACUGUGUAACUAAUAACAUACAGUGCCUUUACACAAAAUUAAAUGCCAUAUCAUAUAGAUACUUAAUGAAAUAAUUCUCACAAUAUAUUUUGUGCACACCUAUUUUGAU